UGCGCGUAAAUUGCCCGAAUCCUGACACAGGGAGGUAGUGACAAGAAAUAACAAUACAGGGCUACUUCUAGUCUUGUAAUUGGAAUGAGUACAACUUACAUCUCUUCACGAGGAUCAAUUGGAGGGCAAGUCUGGUGCCAGCAGCCGCGGUAAUUCCAGCUCCAAUAGCGUAUAUUAAAGUUGUUGCAGUUAAAAAGCUCGUAGUCGGAUUUCGGGGCGGGCCGAGCGGUCUGCCGAUGGGUAUGCACUGUUCGGCGCGUCCUUCUUUCCGGAGACUAGUUCUACUCUUAACUGAGCGGGACUGGGAGACGGAUCGUUUACUUUGAAAAAAUCAGAGUGUUUCAAGCAGGCAGCUCGCUCUUGCAUGGAUUAGCAUGGGAUAAUGAAAUAGGACUCUGGUGCUAUUUUGUUGGUUUCGAACACCGGAGUAAUGAUUAACAGGGACAGUCAGGGGCACUCGUAUUC
rnacentral:rRNA from 1 species